GCAGCACGGGGGCAACCCUGGUGGCGAGUGGCGAACGGGUGAGUAACAUAUCGGAACGUGCCCUGGAGUGGGGGAUAACUAGUCGAAAGAUUAGCUAAUACCGCAUACGAUCUACGGAUGAAAGUGGGGGAUCGCAAGACCUCAUGCUCGUGGAGCGGCCGAUAUCUGAUUAGCUAGUUGGUGGGGUAAAGGCCUACCAAGGCAUCGAUCAGUAGCUGGUCUGAGAGGACGACCAGCCACACUGGGACUGAGACACGGCCCAGACUCCUACGGGAGGCAGCAGUGGGGAAUUUUGGACAAUGGGCGCAAGCCUGAUCCAGCAAUGCCGCGUGAGUGAAGAAGGCCUUCGGGUUGUAAAGCUCUUUUGUCAGGGAAGAAACGGUUCGGGUUAAUACCUUGGGCUAAUGACGGUACCUGAAGAAUAAGCACCGGCUAACUACGUGCCAGCAGCCGCGGUAAUACGUAGGGUGCAAGCGUUAAUCGGAAUUACUGGGCGUAAAGCGUGCGCAGGCGGUUGUGCAAGACAGAUGUGAAAUCCCCGGGCUCAACCUGGGAAUUGCAUUUGUGACUGUACGGCUAGAGUGUGUCAGAGGGGGGUAGAAUUCCACGUGUAGCAGUGAAAUGCGUAGAGAUGUGGAGGAAUACCGAUGGCGAAGGCAGCCCCCUGGGAUAACACUGACGCUCAUGCACGAAAGCGUANGGAGCAAACAGGAUUAGAUACCCUGGUAGUCCACGCCCUAAACGAUGUCUACUAGUUGUCGGGUCUUUAUUGACUUGGUAACGCAGCUAACGCGUGAAGUAGACCGCCNGGGGAGUACGGUCGCAAGAUUAAAACUCAAAGGAAUUGACGGGGNNCCGCACAAGCGGNGGAUGNNGUGGAUUAAUUCGAUGCANCGCGAAAAACCU
rnacentral:rRNA from 1 species